GUAACCAGUUCCAUGUGUGUUGUGUUCAACAGAUACAGCUCCAAUACAAAAGUCUUCAGUACAGUACACAACAAUUAACUGUCUCGUCUCAUCUCCUUCUGCCUAUCCUGGUCCGGGUCACGGGGGCAGCAUCCCAGACUGUCCUCUCCCCAGCCACCUCCACCAGCUCCUCCGGUUGGACCUCAAAGUGUUCCUGGGCCAGUUCAAGAUAUACUUUCUCCAACGUGUCCUGGGUCAAUCAGGUGGCCUCCUGCCAGCAGGACAUGCCUGAAACACCUCCCUGGGGAGGAGUCCAGGAGGCAUCCUUACAAGAUGCCCAAACCACCUCAACUGACUCCUCUCGAUAUGGAGGAGCAGCAGCUCUUCUCUGAGUGUCUCCCGAAUGUUCGAACACCUCACCCUAUCCCUAAGGCUGAACCCAGCUACCCCGCAGAGAAAGCCUAUUGCGGCCGCUUGUAUCCACAAACUUGUUCUUUCGGUCAUCACCCAAAGCUCAUGACCAUAGGUGAGGACUGGGCGGUAGAUCGACUGGUAAAUCGAGAGCCUUGCUUUUCGGCUCAGCUCAUUCUUCACCACAACAGACCGGUUCAGUGUCCGCAACACUGCAGAUGCUGCCCCAAUCCGCCUGUCAAUCUCCUGCUCCCUCCUUCCCUCACCCGUGAACAACACCCAGAGAUACUUUAAUUCCUCCACUUGAGGCAGAACCUCUCUCCCGACCCGGAGUUGGCAAGCCGCCCUUUUCCAGUUGAGAACCAUGGUCUCAGACUUGGAGGUGCUGAUCCUCAUCUCAGCCGCUUAACACUCAGCUGUAAAUCUCCCCAGCAAGAGCUGUAGUUCAGAGCCUGAUGAAGCUGGGAGGACUACAUCAUCCACAUAAAAUAGAGGUGAGAUUCUCCUGCCACCAAACUCCACACACUCAACACCACGGCUGUGCCUAGAAAUCUUGUCCUUAAAUGUUAUGAACAGGACCGGUGACAAAGGGCAUCCCUGGUGGAGUCCAAACCUCACUGGGAACAGGUCCGACUUACUGCCGGCUAAGUGGACCACACUCCUCUGGUACAGGGACUGAAUGGCCCUUAGCAAAAUACCAUCCACCCCAUACUCCUGGACUGCCCCCCACAGGGUGCUUCUGGGGACACGGUCAUAAGCCUUCUUCAAAUCUACAAAACACAAGUUGGUUGGUUGGGCAAAAUCCCUUGACCCCUCCAUCACCCUAGCAAGGGUAAAGAGUUGGUCCACAGUUCCAUGGCCAGGACGAAAACCACAUUGCUUCUCCUCUAUCUAAGAUUCAACUACUGACUAGACCCGUCUUUCUAGUACCCUGGAGUAGACCUUUCCAGAGAAGCUGAGUGUACUCCUCCUAUAGCUGGAACACAGCCCCUGGUCCCCUUUUUAAAAAUUGGAACCACCACCCAGGUCUGCUACUCCACAGGAACUGCCCCCGAUGACCACGCAUGUUGCAGAAACAUGUCAACCAAGACAGUACAACAUCCAAAACCUUGAGAUACCCAGGUCGGAUCUCAUCCACCCCAAGGGCUCUGCCGCUGCGUAGUUGUUUGACUACCUCAGCGACUUUUGCCCCAGAGAUUGGACAGUCCACCCCCAGGUCUCCCAACUCUGGUUGCUCCUUGGAAUGCGUCUUGGUGGGACUGAGGAGCUCCUCAAAGUAUUCCAUCCGCCGCCUGACUAUAGCCCCAGUUGACGCCAACAGCUUUCCAUCCCCACUGUAAACAGUGUGAGCAAGUUGCUGCCUUCUUCCCCUGAGGCGCUGGAUGGUUUGCCAGAACCGUUUUGAGCCGAUCAAUAUUCUUUCCCCAUAGUCUUACUCCACACCCGAGAUUCUGCCUUGGAAACUACCACUGCUGCACCCCGCUUGGCCCUCCGGUACCCGUCUGCUGCCUUUGGAGACCCACAGACCAGCCACGCCCUGUAGGCCUCCUUCUGCAGCUUGACAUCUCCCCUAACCUCUGGUGUCCACCAGCAGGUAUGGGGGUUACUGUCAGGACUGGCACCGGCCACCUUGUGACCACAAUUCUCAACAGCCGCUUCAACAAUUGCAGAGCGGAACAAGGCCCAUUCGGACUCAAUGUCCCCCACUGCUCUCAGGGCGUGGUCAAAGCUCUGCCGGAGGUGGGAGCUGAAGACCAUCUGGACAGGUUCAUCUGCGGAGCAUUCCCAGCAGACCCUCACAAUAUGUUUGGGUCUACCAGGUCUGCGCAGCAUCUUCCCCUGCCAUCUGAUCCAGCUCACCACCAGGUGGUAAUCAACUGACAGCUCUGCUCCUCUUUUUACGAGUGUUCAAAACAUACGGUCUCAGAUCAGAUACAACAACAACAGUACAACAACAAAGUCAAUCAUUGACCUGUAACCUAGGGUGCCCUGGUACCAGGUAUACCAAUGAGCACCCCUAUGUUUGAACAUGGUGUUCUGUUAUUGGACUUCUGCUCAAGUUGCAGUUUGGCCACAACAACUCAAGUUCAGAUUGGGUGGGCCGUUCCUCCAAAUCACGCCACUCCAGGUCAUGCUAUCAUUGCCAACGUGAGCACUGAAGUCCCCCAGCAGGACUAUGGAUUCCCCAGUCGGAGCACCAUCUAGUACUCAUCCCAGGGACUCCAUAAAUGUACUCUGAACUGCUAUUUGGUGCAUAAGCACAAACAACAGUCAGGACCUGUUUCCUGACCUGAAGUCCCACGGAGAAACCCCCAACAUACAAGCAGAGAGUCUUGAGGCUAACAGAAAGCUCAUUCCAGCCCUCUGCCUCUCACCUGGAGCAACUCCAGCACAAAAGAGAGUCCAAACCCUCUCAAGGUCUUGGGUUCCAGUGACAUGUCCCUGGGAAGGUGUUUAACCCACGACAUGAAGAAUCAUCACAAAACAACGGCAGAAAGUUCAAACAAUGAUUUAUUAAACCUAACUAAAAGUGUCCUGGAGAUAUCCAAGUCCAAUGAAGCCAGAAAGAGUCCAGAAGUCAGUAGGGAGGGCAGAUGGUGUGACGGGGUGCAUCCAGGAGAGGGAGCCAGAUGAUGGCGGCAGAGGAUAGGAGGAACAGGAGGAGAGGCGAACCGUGAGAGUUGUUGUCCAGGCGGGUUAUGGUGAGUUCCAAGUAGGUAUAUUCCAUCAAUGGUUCAGCGUUUCCAAGUAUCCUGAAGAGGAAUACAAACUUGAGUCCAAAAUGGUCCAAACACAAGAAUCCAAGAAAAAAUCCAAAUACAUACAAAUACUGCGACAGCAAAAAUGUCUGAGCAGAGACCAAGCAUAACCUAAGACUUGAGAGAGGCAAGAUACUACCGUGAGUAGCUAAUCAUCCAGCGAUGUGAAGUGGUUCCCUCUCCUCUUAAAUAGAGCUCUGCUGCGGUUGAUCUGAGGAUCUGCAGCUGCCGCUGAUUGGUAAUGCCCCGCAGCUGGUGAGUGCCCUCUCCUGGAAUGAAGAUCUCACAAAGAUGUUGUAGAGAAGGAGGAGUACUCACCCCGACAUACAACAUCCAGAGCCCAUGCUAUGUGUCGAGGUGAGCCUGACUAUAUCUAGCUGGUACAGCUCAACCUCUUCCACAAGCUCCAGCUCCUUCUCCCGCCAGAGAGGUAACGUUCCACGUCCCAAUAGCCAGUUUUUGUGUCCGUGGAUCGGACCGCCAAAGCACCUGCCUUGGUCUGCUACCCGAUCCACAUUGCACCGGAACCUUCAUGUUCCUCCUGCAGGUGGUGAGUACACAGGUGGAUGAGCCCAUGUAUCCAGUUCGGGCUGGGCCUGGCUGAGACCCAUGGACAAAAGCCCAGCCACCAGGCGCUCUCUCACAGGCCCCAUCCCCAGGCCUGGUUCCAGGGUGGGACCCCGAUAACUCUCCGGCCCGGGUAUUCUGGCUCGUUGAUUUCACUUCCCUGAAGUCUUCUGAACUGCACUUUGUCUCAAAUAACUAACCUAUACUAUACUUCUGUCUACAUUAACCUUAUGUUUAAUGUAGACAGAAGUAUAGAACAUGUGAAGCUGUCGUCAGUGACAGGUAGCUCUUAUUACACACUGACAUUGCGACUGUAGGAAGGUUGCCAGUUAACAAAGUUGUAUGUAAAACUAUAACAACAGUUUAAUCAAGUCCAGACAUAAUAUUUUCUGCUGCAUCUCCCUUUUUAGUUGUUUCCAUUUGGAGUCAGGAGCAUAAUAAACUAAAAACAGUCAUUUUCUUCUGCACUUCUUAGCUUGCCAUCAUAGGGACAGUAAUUCACCUACUUUGGCUGCUACCAAAGAAAGCUUUAGUACUAUUUGUGGUUCACGUACCACAGUUUGACUACUCUACACAUUUCCUCUCUAAGCUGUGCUGCAUGAUUGUUUUAUAGUUGAAUUUAAAGUGAGGCAUGAAUUUCAGUGUCAUUUCCCCACAAAGAUGUGAGCACCUAUGCGUGUUAAGAGCCUGACCUUAAGGGCAAAUAGCUAGAUCCCCUCUUUGUGGGGAAAAUCAAACUGUUUUAUGUAUGAGAGAACCAAGGUUUGUUCUAAAAGGCAGUUUAACUUAGCCGCUCACUCCAGUUUUAUUAAUCCCAAAAUUUACCAUGCAAAUUUAGAUUUAAAGAUCACAGAAGGUUUUAUUACUAGGAAGGUGCUAAUUUGAAUACAUUUGUGCACCAAUGACACAAAGCUAGUGUCCAAGCUGUCACUAACCAGCAGCUGUGUGCCAAAAGUUUUCGAUUGGUCUUUUAUAUUUUGUCUCAUCGUCCUUGUUCAGGACAAAAUGAAGCAGGAAAUCAAUAGGUGAAUUGCGCUGUGUCUACAUAAAGAGAGAGCUGAGCUGAAAGGUGAAGCUCUCAAUUUACCAGUCUAUGCUCCAUCCCUAACCUAUGGUCAUGAAGUUUGAUCGUAGGAAUGAGAUUGCAGAUACAAGCGGCUAAAAUUACUUUUCUCUGCAGGGUGUCUGGGCUCUCCCUUAGAGAUAGGGUGAGGAGCAGUGGCUUCUCGUCCAUAGGGGGCGCUAGGGCACCGCCCCACCAGUCUCACAGGAAGAGGAAGAAUCACAAAAUUCAAAAAAAUAAUAAAAAAAAUGCCAUGAAAAUUAAAUUAAAUGACCUAUACAUUAUAUAGACUAUAGGUGAUGUGUAUAAUCUGCAUUUAAGUGUAGCUUAAAUACAUUAUUUACACUUUUAACACUGCCUAAUCAUCUUGUUACUUUUGGGCGCAGCGAUCUCUACCAUAGACCUAUGCUAACUGGUGCAUGCACGCUGGAUCCCCUCUAAAAUUUACCAUUUGCGCUGAUGUCACUUAAUCACGUAGGUCUACCAUAUUGGUUGGCAAAUGCGUGUAAACAGUGACCGACAUGAAUACUAAACAAAGGAAAAAGUAGAGCCUAUAAUAGAUGUUGUUUUUUUUCUGCUACUUUUAGAAUUCCUUCUACUAGUUCAAGCCUAGUUCAGUUAUCAUAAGAAGUAGCGCACCUAGGUGGGGAUCACAGAGAGUGGUAUGAGUGCUAGCUUAUCAUUGUUAGCUGAAGUUGUUGUGUGGUGGGGUGAGUACUCCGCAUCUCUAUAACAUCUUUGAGUUCUUCAUUUCAGGAGAGGGAACUCACCAGCUGCGGGGCAUUAGUAAUCAGCGGCAGCUGCAGCUCCUCAGGUCAUCCGCAGCAGAGCUCUAUUUAAGAGGAGAGGGAACUACAACACUUCGCUGGAUGAUUAGCUACUCACGGAUUCCUGGACAACCUUCCCUGACGCUCUGGGUUUGUUGGAUCUGAUCCUCCAUCCGAGAAGCGGAACCAGUACUGGAUUACUCACCUGGAAAGAACCAUAACCUACCUGGACUUCACAGUUCACCUCUCCUCUUAUCCUCUGCCACUCCGCCUGGCUCCCUCUCCUGGACUCACUCCUUCACCCCACCUGCCCUCCUCGACCUCCUCCACCUGCAGAACUUUGGACUCUCUCUGGCUCCAGCUAAUCUGGGACUAUUCCAGGGACACUUUUUGUUAGAUUCCUGCAAUAAAUCAUUGUUUUGAACUUCC